GGGUUGGUAGCUCAGUCGGUAGAGCAACGCCCUUUUAAGGCGUGGGUCCCGGGUUCGAAUCCCGGCCAACCCACCA
rnacentral:tRNA from 1 species